GACGAACGCUGGCGGCGUGCCUAACACAUGCAAGUCGAACGGUUUGAGAUAGAGCUAUUUAUAGAUUUAUCAAAAAUAGUGGCGGACGGGUGAGUAACGCGUGAGUAACCUACCUUUCAGAGGGGGAUAACGUUUGGAAACAGACGCUAAUACCGCAUAACAUAUCAACAUCGCAUGGUGAAGAUAUCAAAGGAGCAAUCCACUGAGAGAUGGACUCGCGUCCGAUUAGCCAGUUGGCGGGGUAAAGGCCCACCAAAGCUACGAUCGGUAGCCGGACUGAGAGGUUGAACGGCCACAUUGGGACUGAGACACGGCCCAGACUCCUACGGGUGGCAG
rnacentral:rRNA from 1 species